rnacentral:rRNA from 1 species
CCUCAAAUCAGGUAGGACUACCCGCUGAACUUAAGCAUAUCAAUAAGCGGAGGAAAAGAAACUAACAAGGAUUCCCCUAGUAACGGCGAGUGAAGCGGGAUGAGCUCAAAUUUAAAAUCUUGCAGCCUCAGGUUGUACGAGUUGUAGUCUAGAGAAUCGUUUUCCGCGUUGGCCUGUGUACAAGUCCCUUGGAACAGGGCGUCAUAGAGGGUGAGAAUCCCGUCCUUGACACAGACUACCAAUGCUUUGUGAUGCGAUCUCGAAGAGUCGAGUUGUUUGGGAAUGCAGCUCAAAAUGGGUGGUAAAUUCCAUCUAAAGCUAAAUAUUGGCGAGAGACCGAUAGCGAACAAGUACCGUGAGGGAAAGAUGAAAAGCACUUUGGAAAGAGAGUUAAACAGUACGUGAAAUUGUUAAAAGGGAAACGAUUGAAGUCAGUCAUGCUUUCCGAGACUCAGCCGAUUCUGUCGGUGUACUUCUCGGUUUGCAGGCCAGCAUCAGUUUCGAUCUGUGGAAAAGGUUGGAGGGAACGUGGCAUCCUCGGAUGUGUUAUAGCCCUUCUUCGAAUACAUAGAGCGGGACGUGAGGAACGCAGCGCGCCUUUUAUUAGGUUGGCCCUCGGGUACAUACGCGCCU